rnacentral:rRNA from 1 species
CCUACGGGUGACAGCAGUGGGGGAUAUUGCACAAUGGGGGGAACCCUGAUGCAGCGACGCCGCGUGGGUGAAGAAGCGCCUCGGCGCGUAAAGCCCUGUCAGCAGGGAAGAAAAUGACGGUACCUGAAGAAGAAGCACCGGGUAACUACGUGCCAGCAGCCGCGGUCAUACGUAGAGGGCAAGCGUUCAACGGAUUUACUGGGUGGAAAGGGGGCGCAGACGGCGAUGCAAGCCAGGAGUGAAAGCCCGGGGUCCAACCCCGGGACUGCUCUUGGAACUGCGUGGCUGGAGUGCAGGAGGGGCAGGCGGAAUGCCGGGUGUAGCGGUGAAAUGCGUAGAUAUCAGGAGGAACACCGGUGGCGAAGGCGGCCUGCUGGACUGCAACUGACGUUGAGGCCCGAAAGCGUGGGGAGCAAACAGGAUUAGAUACCCUUGUAGUC